GCGAUACAGGGUGACAGCCCCGUACACAAAAAUGCACAUAUUGUGAGCUCGAUGAGUAGGGCGGGACACGUGGUAUCCUGUCUGAAUAUGGGGGGACCAUCCUCCAAGGCUAAAUACUCCUGACUGACCGAUAGUGAACCAGUACCGUGAGGGAAAGGCGAAAAGAACCCCGGCGAGGGGAGUGAAAAAGAACCUGAAACCGUGUACGUACAAGCAGUGGGAGCACGCUUAGGCGUGUGACUGCGUACCUUUUGUAUAAUGGGUCAGCGACUUAUAUUCUGUAGCAAGGUUAACCGAAUAGGGGAGCCGAAGGGAAACCGAGUCUUAACUGGGCGUUAAGUUGCAGGGUAUAGACCCGAAACCCGGUGAUCUAGCCAUGGGCAGGUUGAAGGUUGGGUAACACUAACUGGAGGACCGAACCGACUAAUGUUGAAAAAUUAGCGGAUGACUUGUGGCUGGGGGUGAAAGGCCAAUCAAACCGGGAGAUAGCUGGUUCUCCCCGAAAGCUAUUUAGGUAGCGCCUCGUGAAUUCAUCUCCGGGGGUAGAGCACUGUUUCGGCAAGGGGGUCAUCCCGACUUACCAACCCGAUGCAAACUGCGAAUACCGGAGAAUGUUAUCACGGGAGACACACGGCGGGUGCUAACGUCCGUCGUGAAGAGGGAAACAACCCAGACCGCCAGCUAAGGUCCCAAAGUCAUGGUUAAGUGGGAAACGAUGUGGGAAGGCCCAGACAGCCAGGAUGUUGGCUUAGAAGCAGCCAUCAUUUAAAGAAAGCGUAAUAGCUCACUGGUCGAGUCGGCCUGCGCGGAAGAUGUAACGGGGCUAAACCAUGCACCGAAGCUGCGGCAGCGACGCUUAUGCGUUGUUGGGUAGGGGAGCGUUCUGUAAGCCUGUGAAGGUGUGCUGUGAGGCAUGCUGGAGGUAUCAGAAGUGCGAAUGCUGACAUAAGUAACGAUAAAGCGGGUGAAAAGCCCGCUCGCCGGAAGACCAAGGGUUCCUGUCCAACGUUAAUCGGGGCAGGGUGAGUCGACCCCUAAGGCGAGGCCGAAAGGCGUAGUCGAUGGGAAACAGGUUAAUAUUCCUGUACUUGGUGUUACUGCGAAGGGGGGACGGAGAAGGCUAUGUUGGCCGGGCGACGGUUGUCCCGGUUUAAGCGUGUAGGCUGGUUUUCCAGGCAAAUCCGGAAAAUCAAGGCUGAGGCGUGAUGACGAGGCACUACGGUGCUGAAGCAACAAAUGCCCUGCUUCCAGGAAAAGCCUCUAAGCAUCAGGUAACAUCAAAUCGUACCCCAAACCGACACAGGUGGUCAGGUAGAGAAUACCAAGGCGCUUGAGAGAACUCGGGUGAAGGAACUAGGCAAAAUGGUGCCGUAACUUCGGGAGAAGGCACGCUGAUAUGUAGGUGAAGUCCCUUGCGGAUGGAGCUGAAAUCAGUCGAAGAUACCAGCUGGCUGCAACUGUUUAUUAAAAACACAGCACUGUGCAAACACGAAAGUGGACGUAUACGGUGUGACGCCUGCCCGGUGCCGGAAGGUUAAUUGAUGGGGUCAGCGCAAGCGAAGCUCUUGAUCGAAGCCCCGGUAAACGGCGGCCGUAACUAUAACGGUCCUAAGGUAGCGAAAUUCCUUGUCGGGUAAGUUCCGACCUGCACGAAUGGCGUAAUGAUGGCCAGGCUGUCUCCACCCGAGACUCAGUGAAAUUGAACUCGCUGUGAAGAUGCAGUGUACCCGCGGCAAGACGGAAAGACCCCGUGAACCUUUACUAUAGCUUGACACUGAACAUUGAGCCUUGAUGUGUAGGAUAGGUGGGAGGCUUUGAAGUGUGGACGCCAGUCUGCAUGGAGCCGACCUUGAAAUACCACCCUUUAAUGUUUGAUGUUCUAACGUGGACCCGUGAUCCGGGUUGCGGACAGUGUCUGGUGGGUAGUUUGACUGGGGCGGUCUCCUCCUAAAGAGUAACGGAGGAGCACGAAGGUUGGCUAAUCCUGGUCGGACAUCAGGAGGUUAGUGCAAUGGCAUAAGCCAGCUUGACUGCGAGCGUGACGGCGCGAGCAGGUGCGAAAGCAGGUCAUAGUGAUCCGGUGGUUCUGAAUGGAAGGGCCAUCGCUCAACGGAUAAAAGGUACUCCGGGGAUAACAGGCUGAUACCGCCCAAGAGUUCAUAUCGACGGCGGUGUUUGGCACCUCGAUGUCGGCUCAUCACAUCCUGGGGCUGAAGUAGGUCCCAAGGGUAUGGCUGUUCGCCAUUUAAAGUGGUACGCGAGCUGGGUUUAGAACGUCGUGAGACAGUUCGGUCCCUAUCUGCCGUGGGCGCUGGAGAACUGAGGGGGGCUGCUCCUAGUACGAGAGGACCGGAGUGGACGCAUCACUGGUGUUCGGGUUGUCAUGCCAAUGGCACUGCCCGGUAGCUAAAUGCGGAAGAGAUAAGUGCUGAAAGCAUCUAAGCACGAAACUUGCCCCGAGAUGAGUUCUCCCUGACCCUUUAAGGGUCCUGAAGGAACGUUGAAGACGACGACGUUGAUAGGCCGGGUGUGUAAGCGCAGCGAUGCGUUGAGCUAACCGGUACUAAUGAACCGUGAGGCUUAACC
rnacentral:rRNA from 1 species